rnacentral:rRNA from 1 species
GAUGAACGCUGGCGGCGUGCCUAAUACAUGCAAGUCGAGCGAACAGAUAAGGAUCUUGCUCCUUUGACGUUAGCGGCGGACGGGUGAGUAACACGUGGGUAACCUACCUAUAAGACUGGGAUAACUUCGGGAAACCGGAGCUAAUACCGGAUAACAUUUGGAACCGCAUGGUUCUAAAGUGAAAGAUGGUUUUGCUAUCACUUAUAGAUGGACCCGCGCCGUAUUAGCUAGUUGGUAAGGUAACGGCUUACCAAGGCGACGAUACGUAGCCGACCUGAGAGGGUGAUAGGCCACACGGGAACUGAGACAGGGUCCAGACUCCUAAGGGAGGCAGCAGUAGGGAAUCUGACGCAAUAGGCGAAAGCAUGACGGAGCAACGCCGCGUGAGUGAUGAAGGGUUUCGGCGCGUAAAAAUCUGUUAUUAGGGAAGAACAAAUGUGUAAGUAACUGUGCACGUCUUGACGGUACCUAAUCAGAAAGCCACGGCUAACUACGUG